AUUGAACGCUGGCGGCAGGCUUAACACAUGCAAGUCGAGCGAUCGGCGCACGGGUGAGUAAUGUAUGGGGACUGCCCGAUAGAGGGGGAUAACUACUGGAAACGGUAGCUAAUACCGCAUACUAUCCGAUAACCCAUAUGGGAUUAGCUAGUAGGUUAGGUAAUGGCUCACCUAGGCGACGAACCCUAGCUGGUCUGAGAGGAUGAUCAGCCACACUGGGACUGGGACGCGGCCCAGACUCCUACGGAGGCAGCAGUGGAGAAUAUUGCACAGUGGGCGCAAGCCUUAUGCAGCCAUGCCGCGUGUAUGAAGAAGGCCCUAGGGUUGUAAAGUACUUUCAGUCGGGGGGCGUUACCGACAGAAGAAGCACCGGCUAACUCCGUGCCAGCAGCCGCGGUAAUUC
rnacentral:rRNA from 1 species